rnacentral:rRNA from 1 species
UGUAUUUAUUAGAUAAAAAACCAAUGCCCUUCGGGGCUUUUUGGUGAUUCAUGAUAACUUUACGGAUCGCAUAGCCUUGCGCUGGCGACGGUUCAUUCAAAUUUCUGCCCUAUCAACUUUCGAUGGUAAGGUAUUGGCUUACCAUGGUUUCAACGGGUAACGGGGAAUUAGGGUUCGAUUCCGGAGAGGGAGCCUGAGAAACGGCUACCACAUCCAAGGAAGGCAGCAGGCGCGCAAAUUACCCAAUCCCGACACGGGGAGGUAGUGACAAUAAAUACUGAUACAGGGCUCUUUUGGGUCUUGUAAUUGGAAUGAGUACAAUUUAAACCUCUUAACGAGGAACAAUUGUAGGGCAAGUCUGGUGCCAGCAGCCGCGGUAAUUCCAGCUCCAAUAGCGUAUAUUAAAGUUGUUGCAGUUAAAAAGCUCGUAGUUGAAACUUGGGCCUGGCUGGCGGGUCCGCCUCACCGCGUGCACUCGUCCGGCCGGGCCUUCCUUCUGAAGAACCUCAUGCCCUUCACUGGGCGUGCUGGGGAACCAGG